rnacentral:lncRNA from 1 species
AUUCCAAUCCCCAGCUGCUGUUGGUUUCCCUGGCCCCUUUGGCAUCCAAGCAGCAGACACAAGCAUGCUAGGUAGUACAGGCUCAAGAUAUGUCCAUUGAAUAAGUGAAUGACAACUGCUAAAGCUAACACACAUUCAUUCAUUCAACUCAUCACAACUGAGCCCCUAUCACAUCCCCGGUGCCGUGUGGGGUGGACAGGUGGGGUGGACAGGUUAGCGCCGGGACAGGCGGUGCUUAGAAAUGGCUCGUGCAGGACUCAGAUGGCUCACCCUGAGCAGAAGCGCAUGUUCUAUGGUUGCCCUAUGCAGGACCCUGUGCUGAUAACCUGAUAGGCAGCUUCUCACUGAGUUUCUAUAAUGGUUCUAUGAGAAAGGUGAUCUUAUAGACCUAUUUUACAGGUGAGGAAACUGAGGCUUACAGAGGUGAAGUGAGUUUCCCAGGACCAAAACAGUUUGAAUAUCCUGGGCCUGACUCCAGACCAUGUCCUUUAACUACAAGGGGAUCUGACUGUGCCCUUUGACAGUGGGUGACCUGAGGGUGAAGCCCCAUUCCUUCCAAGUGGCUGCCCUGGGAUCAGCCACCAGAGGCUAAACUUCAGAAAAAGACUGCAGAGAAGGGCUGCAGGUAGGGGAAGACAUCUGGUAAAUGGGAAACAACUAAGUGGAAAUAUAUUCAGCCUUAAUUAGUACUGAAAAAAAAAAAAAACCCACCUAAGUUCAGUAUUACUUGCCCAUUAAACCAACAAAAAUAAAUACAAUUGUUAAAACUAAUGUUUGCAGGGUUGUAGAGAACCUGGUGAAGUAACAUUUCUCCCAUGUAACACGAAGGAGGCUGAGACUCAGUGAGAUGAAGAGCUUCUUCAAAGUCACUCCUGAUGGGACCUACAAACUCUGCGACAAAACCUAGGAACGCUGAUGCCAGGCCCCAGUUCCUAAGUCUACAUUAUAGCCUGUGUUCUUUGAAGACACAUGGCUUAUAUCCAGAAGCUGAUGUUUUUCCCUUACGCCUUUUUAACCCUCCUGGGCGACACCAGCCUAAGAGUUUUAGAAACCGCCCUCCCCAAGAAGAAAGAUCGAUACUGUCUUGGUGAUACUCUCUAAUAACAGUUUUUAAUACGGUAUUUCCAGAGGUUGGAUUUGAUGUUCUCUUUUGCAAAAGUCACCUAACUUUUCUGAGUUUCAGUUUCCUUGUCUGUAAAAUGAGGACAAAGGCCCCCAAGUUUCUCCUUUACCUGCUGUUGUGUAAGGUCCCUUCCUGUUUGGUUUAUAUAAACAGGCUGUGUAGUACCCUGUUUGUCCCCAAAAGGCCUUUGUAAACAGAAUCCCAUGGUGACACUGAACAUCACAGACUCCAGGCUCUGAAGAGGAAGUUUGGACUUAACGUGGUCCCAGCAACUGCUGCUACAGGGGGAAUCAGAUCCAGAGAGGAGAUGGGAUGUGUGUGAAGCCACCUCUGCCAUCAAUGUGUCAUUUUCCCAACCCUGCUGGUUCUCAAGGGAGGGCAACUUUGUGCAUGCAUGUGCACCCACACACACGCACACCCCACCUGGGACACCUGACAAUGUCUGGAGAUCUUCUGGCUAUCGCAACUGGGGAUGGGGCACUCCUAGCAUUUAGUAGGUAGAGACCAGUGAUGCUGCUAAACAUCCUGCAAUGCACGGGGCAGCCCUUGUGACUAAGGCUGAUCCUGCCCCACAAGUCCAUAGUGCUGAGGCUGAGAGCAGACCCUAAUCCUUACCAUGCCUGGCUCGCCACCUCCUUCCCUAGACCCUUGGAUCUUUGAAAGGGAAAAGACCCUACCUGCCCGGUUCUCUGUUACCUCCCCAGAGCCCACCCCAGGACCUGCACACAGUGGUGCUCAACACAGAUUAGCAAACCAGGACUCAGCCAGGUCUUUGGAAGCAUAGCCCAGGGCUUUUGACCUUUCUAAGUCUCACACAUGUUUUCUGUUCAUUUCAAAUAGACCUUCCCCAGAAUCUACCUGGAUAACCUCUCUGAAUCCUUCAUGAUGAACCUGGCCAUCACUCCUGUAGGAAGCCUUCUGCGAUAACCCCAGGCUCCAAGGGGAGUUGGACAUGAAGACCAUCGCUCCUGUGCCCACUUCCUGCACAGCACCUAUGGUCCUGGCUUGAGUUUGUCUGUUUUCCCUUCUCUCCCCAUCACUCCUGCAACCCAAGAAAGGAAAGACUCUAUCUUUUCCAUCUCAAUGUAGUGAUGCUUGGCAUAUAGUAGGUGCUCAAUAAAUAAGACAUGAACACAUAUAUCUUGCUCUUCUUCGAUCUAUUUUGCAUUUAACAUGGGAAUGACCUUUCAAAUGACAAGAUCAGAUCAUGAAACCCCCUGACAAAAAUUCUACAGUGAUUUCCUGUUGCACUUACAAGAAAUCCCAGAGUCCUCCCCUGGGUCUUGCUGACUCUCAGGCCUCGUCUCACUGCACCUCCCCUGAUUUACAGCCCCCCAGCCAUGCAGAGCUCCUCUACUCCCCAUUACAUCCAGCAGAGGCCACCCUCGGGCUCUUGCACCCGCUGUCCCAGACACCUGCAGUGCAUGGUCCUGCUCUUCUCAUGGCUGCUGCCUUCUCUGCCUGUGGGUCUCAACUUGAGUCCUGCUGUCUCAGAGACCUCCCUGGUGACCCCAUUUACA